UCUAUAAAUGCAUCCAGUUAUAAUAUCAUUUCAAAAAACUAAUUUCCACAUGCCUUGAUUCACUAGUAGCACUCAAAAUAACGCAAACCUAAAAAAAAAUACUAUUGUACUCAAAACAUAUAACUAUUAACUUCUAAAAUCUUACUUUGUAGACUCCCUUAUGAAUUCAACACCUAUUACAUUCCCAGAAUUACUUUGCAAACCUACUUCAUGCACUCAACCCCUCAAAGAUACAAGAUAUAAACUCCUUGCAAGAUUUCCUCUCUUCAUUUUCUUCAUCCAUCAACUAUAAUGAAAACUUCUAAUUCCUUUCUCUGUUUCUUCUUUCUUCUCUUCCUUAUAUAAUUUAAAGCUAAGUUCUUCUCACAAUAUGGUUUCAAACCUAAUAAAUUAUUUCUCUUUCAUUUCAUAUUUAUUCUUACAACCUGCCUUUCCCACGCUCACCAUUGCAUUUUUACAUGAGUUACUAACCCUAUACCCCAUUUGAUCCUUGCCCAGCAGGAUUUCACUUCAUUUUGUAAUAAUUAGUGCAACCAUGAUAACCCACCCCAAACUGAAUUCUUAAGUCUCCUUCCACUUCAACCCCAACAACACAUUUACGUUUAUCUUAGAAAACACCAUACACCAUGUACCCCAUACAUCCAUUUAGUAAUGAAAAUUGAGAAUGGAACACAAAACCCCCUGGCCUCCAUUCAAUUCAUACAAUAUACAUCUAUGCAUAUAUUCACUUUACUCAAACUCGCCUGAAAUCAUGACUCUCACGCUUACUAAACACAAACAGGUUCUAUUUUCUUCUUCGCAUGUAGUAUAAUAUUGAAAUAUAUGAAACAAUUUUCUCAUGUGAUACACCCAACCCAUUCCUAAUUUAACUACACAACAUUUAUAA
rnacentral:lncRNA from 1 species